UGGGGAAUAUUGCACAAUGGGCGCAAGCCUGAUGCAGCCAUGCUGCGUGUAUGAAGAAGGCCUUCGGGUUGUAACGUACUUUCAGCGGGGAGGAAGUGUGUAAAGUUAAUACCUUUGCUCAUUGACGUUACCGACAGAAGAAGCACCGGCUAACUCCGUGCCAGCAGCCGCGGUAAUACGGAGGGUGCAAGCGUUAAUCGGAAUUACUGGGCGUAAAGCGCACGCAGGCGGUUGAUUGAGUCAGAUGUGAAAUCCCCGGGCUUAACCCGGGAAUUGCAUCUGAUACUGGUCAGCUAGAGUCUUGUAGAGGGGGGUAGAAUUCCAUGUGUAGCGGUGAAAUGCGUAGAGAUGUGGAGGAAUACCGGUGGCGAAGGCGGCCCCCUGGACAAAGACUGACGCUCAGGUGCGAAAGCGUGGGGAGCAAACAGG
rnacentral:rRNA from 1 species